ACGUCGAUUUACGUUUCGUAUGAACGAAGGUGAGAAUCAAGGGGCGCACUAUCCAUCGACUUCAUGAGUGUGUUAAAUCUUAGUCACUAAGGGUGUUGCUAUUGUUGCUAUUGUGUUGGCAUUGAAAAAUGAUUAGGCGUGUGACUCAAUUCUGAAAAAUUAGUGAAUGACAUGAAACAAAAAAAUCCACUGUUGACACCACACGGCCGUAGGGCACACGGGCUAGGCCAGGUAAUCAACAGACUUAGGAUCAAGUGGCGUACAAAAGUUUGGAUUGAUUUUUCGAGUAAUAUAACGAUUUAUGUUUAAUUCAUUUACAGACUUUUGGGCUGUAAAUCUAUUUUUUGACUUUACUUUAUGUUUUUGGUUCAUUUUGUUGGAUUUUUGUAUUUUUAACAUAAAACUGCAAAAUCAUACGAGUUAUCAAACUAAAAAUCAGUUUUCAAAACUAAAA